AUUGAACGCUGGCGGCAGGCCUAACACAUGCAAGUCGAACGGUAACAGGAAGCAGCUUGCUGCUUCGCUGACGAGUGGCGGACGGGUGAGUAAUGUCUGGGAAACUGCCUGAUGGAGGGGGAUAACUACUGGAAACGGUAGCUAAUACCGCAUAACGUCGCAAGACCAAAGAGCGGGACCUUAGGGCCUCUUGCCAUCGGAUGUGCCCAGAUGGGAUUAGCUAGUAGGUGGGGUAACGGCUCACCUAGGCGACGAUCCCUAGCUGGUCUGAGAGGAUGACCAGCCACACUGGAACUGAGACACGGUCCAGACUCCUACGGGAGGCAGCAGUGGGGAAUAUUGCACAAUGGGCGCAAGCCUGAUGCAGCCAUGCCGCGUGUAUGAAGAAGGCCUUCGGGUUGUAAAGUACUUUCGGCGGGGAGGAAGGGAAUAAAGUUAAUACCUUGGCGCAUUGACGGUACCCGCAGAAGAAGCACCGGCUAACUCCGUG
rnacentral:rRNA from 1 species